rnacentral:rRNA from 1 species
AUGAACGCUGGCGGCGUGCCUAAUACAUGCAAGUCGAACGAACAGACGAGGAUUUUGUUCUGCUGUCGUUAGCGGAGGGCUGGUGAAUAACUCGUGUACAACCUACUUGUAUUUGUUGUAUAACUUCGGCACACGGGAGCUUAUACUAUAUAAUAUAUUGAACCGUAUGGUUCAUUAGUAAAUGACGGUUUUGCUGUAACUUAUAGCUGGUUCUAGGCUGCAUUAGCUAGUUGUGAAGGUAACGGCUUAUCAAGGGGACGAUGCGUAGCCGACCUGAGAGGCUGAUAGGCCACCCUGGAACGGAGACACGGUCCAGACUCCUACGGGAGGCCGCAGUAGGGAAUCUUCGGCAAUGGGCGAAAGCCUGACACAGCAAGGCCGCGUGUGUGAUGAAGGUCUUCGGAUCGUAAAGCUCUUUUAUUUGGGAAGAACAGAUGUGUAAGUAGAUAUGGCCGUAUUGACGGUACCUAAUAAAAAAGCAACGGCUAACUACGUG